UACAGAGGGGGCCAGCGUUAUUCGGAAUUAUUGGGCGUAAAGGGCGCGUAGGCGGCCAUGCGUGUCUUCCGUGAAAUCCCUCGGCUUAACCGAGGACGUGCGGAAGAAACUGCAAGGCUCGAGUCCGGAAGAGGGGGGCGGAAUUCCCAGUGUAGCGGUGAAAUGCGUAGAUAUUGGGAGGAACACCAGUGGCGAGGGCGGUCCCCUGGGCCGGAACUGACGCUGAGGCGCGAAAGCGUGGGGAGCGAACAGG
rnacentral:rRNA from 1 species